rnacentral:rRNA from 1 species
AGUAAUAGUUUUGUUCUUUAAACUUAAGAAAAUUGGCGGUAUUUAAAUCUAAUUAGGGGAAUUUGUUAUUAUUAAUUGAUGAUCCUCAAGACACCUUACUUUAAUUAAUUUAAUUUAUUUAUUGCCGUUAUAAGAUAAUUUUAAAAGAAAAUAAAAUUGUCUAUAUUUUUAUUUUAUUUAAUUUUUUAAUUAUAAUAGUAAUUAAUAAAUUAUAAAUAUUUUAAAUAUAUUUAUUUAUUUAAAAAGUAAUUAAAUUAAUAAAUAUAUUUAAUGUAAUUUAUUAAAUUUGAAAAGUUAUUUCAGGUCAUUAUGUAGUUUAUAUUAAAGUUAUGAUGAAUUACAAUAAAUUAUAUUUAUGGAUAUUAAAUGCAAUUUUUAAUUGAAAGUGGACUUAAUAGUAAAAUAAAAUGAUAAUAUUUAUUUGAAAUAAGAAUCUAAAU